rnacentral:tRNA from 1 species
CGAAAUCGGUAGACGCUACGGAUUUAAAAUCCGUCGACUUUCGAGAUCGUGAGGGUUCAAAUCCCUCUAUCCCCA